AAUGUAUUGUAACUGAUUGGUUAUUUAAUUAUAUCCCACCAUGUUAAUUGGUUUACACCCAACAAAAUUAAUUAUACAGUAGACGGAAACAAUUACAGAACCAGACAGAUA